rnacentral:rRNA from 1 species
AUGACGUCGUUCGGAGACGAUGAGAAGCCUCCUUCUCCGAAUGCAGGGAAGAAUGGAGAUCGAGGAUUAUAUGCAGGUAGCAAAGAUGGGCUGGUGAUGAUGGCAAUUCCGGCGUACAACAGGAAAGAUGUGGGGCUGACCAAGGAUACAGUGACGGCCAUGGUGGAGAUCAGGGCCACAUCCUCCGCCGCCAUGAGGGAAGGGCUGGACCUGGUGGCGGUGCUGGACGUGAGCGGCGGCAUGGGCGGGGACAAGAUCCAGAGCGUGAAGAAGGCCCUGCAGUUCGUCAUCAUGAAGCUCACCUCCGUGGACCGCCUCUCCAUCGUCACCUUCGACAGCACCGCCCGCAGGCUCACCCCACUGCGCUCCAUGACGCAGGCUGCCCAGACCGACCUCAAGGCCGACGUCGACGGCCUGGCGGCCGGCGGAGGGACCGACAUAAAGGCCGGUCUCGAGUUGGGGCUGGCCGUCCUCGCUGGCCGCGUCCACGCCGAGUCCCGCACCCCCAACAUCUUCCUCAUGUCAGACGGGCAGACGACCUCCGGCGACCCCAGGGAAGUCCACCCCGGCGAAGUGGCCGUCUACACCUUUGGUUUCGGCGCCGGCACGAACCACAAGCUGCUGAGCGACCUGGCCAAGAAGUCCACUGGCGGGACGUACAGCGCGGUGCCGGACGGGACCAACCUCAGCGCGCCCUUCUCGCAGCUGCUCGGCGGCCUGCUCACGGUGGUGGCGCAGGACGUGCAGCUCACGCUCGAGCCCAACACCGCCGAUGGCGACCUGGAGAAGAUGACCGUGGCCCCCGGCACAGACUACACGACGAUCACCGACGACAAGAGAGGCCUCAUCACCAUCAAGUUCGGCACCCUCUUCAGCGGAGAAGCCCGCAAGGUGGCCGUCAACUUCACUCUCAGGGACAGCGACGAGACCGAGGAGUACGACGCCACUUUGGCCGAGGCGCGGCACAGCUACGCUGGCCAGAAGACGCGCCAGUCUCUCGAGGCCAUCCUGAUUGUGCGCACCCCGAACCCAAGCUCUCCCGUAGACGCCGGUGCUGUCGAGAACCGCUCUGUGCUGGCCGAGGAGGUGCGCCGGAUGCACGCCGACACCAUCAACGCGGCGAGCCUCCUGGCGGACGAUGAGAGGCUGGAGGAAGCGCGGGAGAGGAUCGCGGACGCGCAGAACGCGGUGGAGGACAUCGUGCUGCUGGACCUGGACGACGGGGAGAAGAUGGUCAACGCGCUCCGCGCCGAGCUGCUGCAGCUGCUCGCCUUCAUGGAGUCGCAGGAGAUCUACAACGAGCGGGGACACCCCUACGCCCUCGCCACCGUCACGUCCCACGGGCGGCAGCGCACCGCCGCGAGGGGCGACGAGGGGGAGGUCAUGUGCCUCUAUGCGACGCCGCGCAUGAACGCCUACCUGGAGCAGGCCAAGAGGUUCGAGGAGAACCCAAAGGAGCCGAUGCCCACCGCCGACGAUGACGUCGAGGGAGAGAUUUCGUAA